AAUCCGAGCGAGAGGCCUGUCGGGUUAUCGCAGGAGCCGUGGAAUCGGCGGUCGUGUCGUCUCUCCGUGGGUCCCUCCCGUGUGGUGGGGGGAGAGGAGCCUGGCGCCGGCGCAGAGCAGCAGCGGGAGUACCCCGGGCCGGCCAGGCCUCCGGCCGGUCACCCCGGACCUGGACGUGCCGGCCGGGGCGGCAGGAGGUCCGUGUGCACGUGCGGGGCUGUGUGCGGUGCCGGGGCCGGUGACCUCUGUGGUCGCGGGCUGGGACAGCCGGUGACGGAGGCCGGCCGCCGCACCGUCGGGGCCUCUCAGAGCUGGUGACGUUGGCGCCGCGGCUGCGCAGCAGCAGCAGCAGCAGCAGCAGCAGCAGCAGGAGUUUGGCCGACUCCGGUGAAGCCGGUGGGAAGCGCCAGCACCGAGCCUGGAGUUUCAGGUGUGCGACACAGGGGUUCCGAGCAGCACCGGGUGCCCGCCACGAGGGCGUCCUCAACCCCCGUCGCCUGCUCCAUCCACCACCCUCCCUGGUAACCGCCGGCGUGGUCCCCACAGAAUUUCCGUGAUCACCGGGGGAAAUGCUCUCGGGAUCUGCCCCGGCCUGGACCCGAGGGCGGCCCUUCUGCGUUAACCGCCCGCGUGCCCCCCGUGCCGGAGUCCCAGCUCCCAGAGGACCGCUCUGGCUCUUGGGCCUCCCGCCUGCUGCGGUCACCCGCGCUCAGUGUGCGCUCCGGGGAAAGCGCGUCCGGUAGGCGGCUGUGGCGGCAGAGGACCUGCCGGUGACGUUCUUGGGACUGUGGUCCUCUGGCUCGUCCAGGCGGCGUCUGGAAUCGGAGCAGAAGGUGAUCUUGGGCAUAAGAAUCCACCGCGUCCAGGAAAAUACCGUUGGGACCGAUCCGAGGGCAGCUGUGUUUGCAAGCUAAACUAAACCGGUGACCCGUUCUCCCCACGGCUUGUGUGCUCGUCUUGGGAAGGACCUCGUCUCUCACCUUGCCCUCGCCCCACAGGGUGCAACUCUCUUCACGAAGAUCGGGUAUAUGCUCUGUUUAUUCCUAAGCAACCGUUGUUCGCGCUGGAAGCCCUGGCAGA